rnacentral:rRNA from 1 species
UACGGAGGGUGCAAGCGUUAUCCGGAUUCACUGGGUUUAAAGGGUGCGUAGGUGGCUUUGUAAGUCAGUGGUGAAAGCCCGGAGCUCAACUCCGGAACUGCCAUUGAUACUGCUUAGCUUGAAUCACGUCGAGGUGGAUGGAAUAAUACAUGUAGCGGUGAAAAUGCUUAGAUAUGUAUUAGAACACCGAUUUGCGAAGGCAGUUCACUAGGCGUGUAUUGACACUGAGGCACGAAAAGCGUGGGGAUCGAAACAAGG